CAACUUUCAACAACGGAUCUCUUGGUUCUGGCAUCGAUGAAGAACGCAGCGAAAUGCGAUACGUAGUGUGAAUUGCAGAAUUCAGUGAAUCAUCGAAUCUUUGAACGCACAUUGCACCUCUCGGUAUUCCGGGAGGUAUGCCUGUUCGAGCGUCAUUU
rnacentral:rRNA from 1 species